AAACUCUGGUCUCUCUUCAUAACGAAUAAAUCUUUCGCCUUUUACUAAAGAUUUAGUGGAGAAGGACUCAUUGAUGAGUAUCAAUAUUAUUGUUAGCAAAAUAACGAAUAAUUUC